rnacentral:rRNA from 1 species
GAUGAACGCUAGCGGCAGGCCUAACACAUGCAAGUCGAGGGGCAACACAGAAACAGCAAUGUUUUGGUGGCGACCGGCGGACGGGUGCGUAACGCGUAUGCAACCUACCUUUAACAGGGGGAUAACGGAGAGAAAUUUCCACUAAUACCCGAUAACAUCGAUCAAGGCAUCUUGAUUGGUUGAACACUACGGUGGUUAAAGAUGGGCAUGGGUUGUAUUAGGUAGUUGGUGAGGUAAUGGCACACCAAGCCCACGACACAUAGGGGGACUGAGAGGUUAGCCCCCCACACUGGUACUGGGAAACGGACCAGACUCCUACGGGAGGCAGCAGUGAGGAAUAUUGGUCAAUGGGGGCAGCCCUGAACCAGCCAUGCCGCGUGCAGGAAGACGGCUCUAUGAGUUGUAAACUGCUUUUAAACAGGGAUAAAGCACAGUAUGUAUACUGUGUUGAAGGUACUGUAAGAAUAAGGAUCGGCUAACUCCGUGCCAGCCGCCGCCGUAG